rnacentral:rRNA from 1 species
UAGUGGCGAACGGGUGAGUAACACGUGGGCAAUCUGCCCUUCACUCUGGGACAAGCCCUGGAAACGGGGUCUAAUACCGGAUAACACUCUGUCCCGCAUGGGACGGGGUUGAAAGCUCCGGCGGUGAAGGAUGAGCCCGCGGCCUAUCAGCUUGUUGGUGGGGUGAUGGCCUACCAAGGCGACGACGGGUAGCCGGCCUGAGAGGGCGACCGGCCACACUGGGACUGAGACACGGCCCAGACUCCUACGGGAGGCAGCAGUGGGGAAUAUUGCACAAUGGGCGAAAGCCUGAUGCAGCGACGCCGCGUGAGGGAUGACGGCCUUCGGGUUGUAAACCUCUUUCAGCAGGGAAGAAGCGAGAGUGACGGUACCUGCAGAAGAAGCGCCGGCUAACUACGUGCCAGCAGCCGCGGUAAUACGUAGGGCGCAAGCGUUGUCCGGAAUUAUUGGGCGUAAAGAGCUCGUAGGCGGCUUGUUGCGUCGGUUGUGAAAGCCCGGGGCUUAACCCCGGGU